UGCUCAGCGCUUGGGACUUCGACUCAACCUAAUUAUUUUCAUAUGUAGGUGAGUAAAGUUUCAGGUGUUCGAGCGC
rnacentral:pre_miRNA from 1 species